rnacentral:lncRNA from 1 species
GGGCACUGUUCCCAGAAGCAUGAGUCAGUAUAACAGUCAUUGCACUGAAAAUAGCUUUCACCAUGACCUGAACUAAAGGUUCAGGAUCACGUGUGAUCUGAUUCCUUGCAAUUUAAAAUAAAGACAAAGACAGCAGCAGGAGAGAAAGCAGAUUGGUUUCUUCCUGGAAAAGGCCUCCCUCUGAGCUACUUCCACCUAGACUGCAGGUCAAAGGAUGGAAUGCAGUGGCCUGAUCCUGGCUCAUGGCAACCUCUGCUUCCCAGAUACAAGGCAUUCUCCUGCCUCAGCCUCCUGGGUAGCUUCAUCACAGGCUGGAGUGCAACAACAUGAUCUCAGCUCACUACAACAUCUGCCUCCAAGAUUCAAG